UCCGGUUUAACACCGGCGGUCUCCAUAGAGUGCCCAACUGAAUGAUGGCAACUAGGGAUAAGGGUUGCGCUCGUUAAGGGACUUAACCCGACAUCUCACGAUACGAGCUGACGACAGCCAUGCAGCACCUGUCUCCCAGCCUCCGAAGAGGAAGCCCUAUCUCUAGGGUUGUCUGGGGAUGUCAAACCCAGGUAAGGUUUUUCGCGUUGCAUCGAAUUGAACCACAUGCUCCACCGCUUGUGCGGGCCCCCGUCAAUUCCUUUGAGUUUUAACCUUGCGGCCGUACUUCCCAGGCGGGGUACUUAAUGCGUUGGCGUCGACACUGCAGGGGUCAAUUCCUGCAACAUCUAGUACCCAUCGUUUACAGCGUGGACUAC
rnacentral:misc_RNA from 1 species